CNUGCAGUCGAGGGGUAGAGGAGAGCUUGCUUUCCUUGAGACCGGCGCACGGGUGCGUAACGCGUAUGCAACCUACCUUAAUCUGGGGGAUAGCCUCUCGAAAGAGAGAUUAACACCGCAUAAAAUCAAAGAACGGCAUCGUUUAAUGAUCAAAUAUUUAUAGGAUUAAGAUGGGCAUGCGUGACAUUAGCUAGUUGGUGAGGUAACGGCUCACCAAGGCGACGAUGUCUAGGGGAUCUGAGAGGAUGACCCCCCACACUGGUACUGAGACACGGACCAGACUCCUACGGGAGGCAGCAGUAAGGAAUAUUGGUCAAUGGAGGCAACUCUGAACCAGCCAUGCCGCGUGCAGGAAGACGGCCCUACGGGUUGUAAACUGCUUUUAUUCGGGAAUAAACCUUUUUACGUGUAAGAAGUUGAAUGUACCGAAAGAAUAAGGAUCGGCUAACUCCGUGCCAGCAGCCGCGGUAAUACGGAGGAUCCAAGCGUUAUCCGGAUUUAUUGGGUUUAAAGGGUGCGUAGGCGGCUUAUUAAGUCAGGGGUGAAAGACGGUGGCUCAACCAUCGCAGUGCCUUUGAUACUGAUGAGCUUGAAUACACUAGAGGUAGGCGGAAUGUGACAAGUAGCGGUGAAAUGCAUAGAUAUGUCACAGAACACCAAUUGCGAAGGCAGCUUACUAUGGUGUCAUUGACGCUGAGGCACGAAAGCGUGGGGAUCAAACAGGAUUAGAUACCCUGGUAGUCCACGCCCUAAACGAUGAAUACUCGAUGUUAGCGAUAUACAGUUAGCGUCUAAGCGAAAGCGUUAAGUAUUCCACC
rnacentral:rRNA from 1 species